rnacentral:tRNA from 1 species
GCGAGGGUAGCCAAGUCUGGUCAAAGGCGUAGGACUCAAGAUCCUAUCCCUAGCGGUUCGGGCGUUCGAAUCGCCCCCCUCGCA